GCACGCGUAGCUCAGUUGGUAGAGCAGCUGACUCUUAAUCAGCGGGUCCACGGUUCGAGUCCGUGCGCGUGUACAA
rnacentral:tRNA from 1 species